rnacentral:rRNA from 1 species
AAUGAACGCUGGCGGCAGGCCUAAAACAUGCAAGUCGAAAGCCCUAGCAAUAGGGAGUGGCGCACGGGUGAGUAACAUGUGGGAAUAUGCCUUUUGGUACGGAACAACGUUUGGAAACGAACGCUAAUACCGUAUGGUCCCUCCGGGGUAAAGGUUUAUCACCAAAAGAUUAGCCCGCACUAGAUUAGCUAGUUGGUAAGGUAAUGGCUUACCAAGGCGACGAUCUAUAGCUGUUCUGAGAGGAAGAUCAGCCACACUGGGACUGAGACACGGCCCAGACUCCUACGGGAGGCAGCAGUUAGGAAUAUUGGACAAUGGGCGCAAGCCUGAUCCAGCCAUGCCGCGUGAGUGAUGAAGGCCUUCGGGUUGUAAAGCUCUUUAGCCGACGAAUAUAAUGACUGUAGUCGGAGAAUAAGCCCCGGCUAACUUCGUGCCAGCCGCCGCGGUAACAC